rnacentral:rRNA from 1 species
GAUGAACGCUGGCGGCGUGCCUAAUACAUGCAAGUCGAGCGAACGGACGAGAAGCUUGCUUUUCUGAUGUUAGCGGCGGACGGGUGAGUAACACGUGGAUAACCUACCUAUAAGACUGGGAUAACUUCGGGAAACCGGAGCUAAUACCUGAUAAUAUUUUGAACCGCAUGGUUCAAAAGUGAAAGACGGUCUUGCUGUCACUUAUAGAUGGAUCCGCGCUGCAUUAGCUAGUUGGUAAGGUAACGGCUUACCAAGGCAACGAUGCAUAGCCGACCUGAGAGGGUGAUCGGCCACACUGGAACUGAGACACGGUCCAGACUCCUACGGGAGGCAGCAGUAGGGAAUCUUCCGCAAUGGGCGAAAGCCUGACGGAGCAACGCCGCGUGAGUGAUGAAGGUCUUCGGAUCGUAAAACUCUGUUAUUAGGGAAGAACAUAUGUGUAAGUAACUGUGCACAUCUUGACGGUACCUAAUCAGAAAGCCACGGCUAACUACGUG